rnacentral:lncRNA from 1 species
GAGGAUAGGAGAGAGAGAGCUGAGGCGCUUGCGAGGUCGGCCAGGGAUGCAUAUGAAGAAGGGGGUUCGUCUUCCUUAAAUGUCACCUUGUUUAUUCAAGACGUUGUCAGGGCAAAUGCAGAAUUAAUGGUCAAUGUAUGAUUGUAACUUUAAAUCUAGUACUUGGACGUAGAAACAAUGAAUUAAUGGUGCAUGUCUUCAACACAUAUAUACUCCUUAAUUUUAUUUACUCGAAUAUAUUGUUGAUCAUGAGAGCUGGGAACUCGUCGUUACAUUAAUCAACUUAACGUCGUGAAUAAUGUAGGUUGCAUGUUUUUUUGUGGAAGUGCAUUGUUGAAUAAUAAUUAUGAUUUAUGUAUGUCAAACUACGGACGAAAGAAUAUACAUGAAGAAACUUAAAUAUGCAUGAUUUGGAGACUAAUAGAGGAGGUAAAAAAAAGUUGAUAUAUAUAUAAUAUAUAUAUAUAGGGUGAGGCUACAUAUUUUAGUGUAUAAAUAUGUAUAAGAUCCAGCCAUCCAUCUCUAAAUAAUUUACGAUCCAGAUUAAAACUUAAUCUUUUUUAUGGUUUAUAUAGUUAUACGUACUGAUUCGUAACAAAUAUUGGAUGAAGGGUAAAACUGCUAUUAAAAUUGAGCUUGACAUUUCAUAUCUCUCCGUCUGUUCCGAUAAUUAUGCGGUGGGAUAUGGAAAGAUUUUCUUUUCCAUAACCUAAUGAUAAUGGUUUAGAUUUUUGAAUGUUUGAUAUGAAUUGAAUGCCAAAAAAAAAAAAGCAUCAAUCAGGUAUUCAUGUUGGAUAAUAUAUGAUGGGGGUUAUUUUAAUGAGGUAUUGUACUUCGUUACGAAUUACAUUUUAGUGGGGUAAGAUUAAAAUCAUAUUUUUGGUAUUACGUAAUUAUCUUUUUGGGUAUUUACGAAUUAUUAGCAAGUUUGCUCUAUUAAUUAAAUGAUUUGUUAUUCAACGUUUUUAGUGGUUUACUACAUCGUAAAGUCAUUGAUAUGAAUCUAAUUUUUUGAUAGUGAGAAUUUGUAUGAUCUAUUUUAAGAGUCGUACGAAUUAAUACUUUUUUUGGUGUUAAUAAUUGAAAUCAAGUUUUAUUUGAAAUAAAAUGGUAUGUUAUUCUGCUGUUUUUGUGGUUUACUACAUAAUAAUCUUGUUGUUACGAAACUAAAUUUUUUUNUAUAUAUAUAUAUAUAUAUAUAUAUAUAUAUAUAUAUAUAUAAUCGUAAAAUAAAUGAACUUUCAAAAAUUCAAAGUUUUUUUGUAGCUUUUUAGUUUCGGGGUUUGGGUUUGGGGUUUGGGGUUCGGGGUUUCGGGGUUUAGGGUUUAAAUAUUUUUGUAUCAAUUCUAGUCAUCACUUUUCCUUCACUAUAUAAAUACAACUCACGACGGAGUUUCAUGACCAUCCACGAUCCACACCACACUCUCUCUCUCUCUCUCUCACUCAUCAGCAAUGGCGCAGCUCCAUGUCCUGAUGAUCCCCCUGAUGUCACAGAGCCACAUAAUCCCCCUGAGCGACUUCGCGAAAUCCCUGGCCCGCCGCGGCGCCCUGGUGUCCAUCGUGACCACCCCCCUCAACGCCCAGCGCUACAAACCCAUCCUCGACACCUCCGCCGCCCAGAAUCUCCGCAUCCAGAUGAUCCCCCUCCACUUCCCCUGCCGCAAGGCCGGCCUCCCCGACGGCUGCGAGAAUCUCGACACCCUCAACUCCCUCCACCUCGCCCGCCAAUUCUUCCACGCCUGCAAACUCCUCCAAGCCCCCCUCCGCGCCCUCAUCCACCAGCUCCGCCCGCCCCCAACUGCAUCAUCUCCACCAGCGCCAUUUCCUGGACCCAGGACCUCGCCGACGCCUUCCGAAUCCCGCGCUACGUCUUCGAAACCGUCUCCUGCUUCACCCUCCACUGCUCCAAAAAAAAUCUCUAAUGUCACAGACAAAGACGGUGUAUUUCUAGUGCCACAAAUUCCUCACCGGAUCGAAUUUUCCAGAAACCAGUUACCUCAAAUCUCGACCCAGGAUUCGGAUCCGUACGUUGACCGUGUCCCGGCUCUAGGCCGGGGCACGCUGGUGAACAGCUUCGAGGAGCUGGAGCCGUGGUACCUGGCGGCAUGCAGGGAGGAGAGAGGAAACGUGUGGGCCGUGGGCCCCGUUUCUCUCUCCAACCGGGAGGUUUCAGAGCGGUUUAAGAGAGGGAACGAGGCUUCAAUCGAUCCCCAUUACUGCCUGACGUGGCUGGAUUCCAUGAAAAGGCAUUCCGUGGUGUACGCCUGUUUUGGGGGCCUGUGCUCUUUAUCUCUGGAGCAGAUAAUCGAGAUAGGUUUAGGGUUGGAGGAAUCUGGCUUUCCUUUCAUUUGGAUUAUCAGGAAACAGGAGAAGAACUCCGGAGAGGUGGAGGAGUGGCUGGCGGCGGAGGGGUUCGUGGAGAGGGUCCGAGGAAGGGGGCUGGUGGUGCGGGGAUGGGCCCCGCAGGUGAUGAUACUGUCGCACCCGUCGGUGGGAGGGUUUCUGACGCACUGUGGGUGGAACUCGACUCUGGAGGGGGUGAGCGCGGGCGUGCCCAUGAUCACGUGGCCCAUGUUUGCGGAGCAGUUUUACAAUGAGAAGAUGGUGGUGGAUGUGUUGGGGAUUGGGGUGAGGGUAGGGGUGGAGAGCUGCAUGGAGAAGCAGGGUGUGGUGAGGCGGGAGCGAGUGAGAUGUGCUGUCGAAGAAUUGAUGAUGGAUGAGACAGAGGAUAGGAGAGAGAGAGCUGAGGCGCUUGCGAGGUCGGCCAGGGAUGCAUGUUCGUCUUCCUUAAAUGUCACCUUGUUUAUUCAAGAUGUUGUCAGGGCAAAUGCAGAAUUAAUGGUCAAUGUAUGAUUGUAACUUUAAAUCUAGUACUUGGACGUAGAAACAAUGAAUUAAUGGUGCAUGUCUUCAACACAUAUAUACUCCUUAAUUUUAUUUACUCGAAUAUAUUGUUGAUCAUGAGAGCUGGGAACUCGUCGUUACAUUAAUCAACUUAACGUCGUGAAUAAUGUAGGUUGC